AUUGAACGCUGGCGGCAGGCCUAACACAUGCAAGUCGAGCGGAUGAAGGGAGCUUGCUCCUGGAUUCAGCGGCGGACGGGUGAGUAAUGCCUAGGAAUCUGCCCGGUAGUGGGGGAUAACGUCCGGAAACGGGCGCUAAUACCGCAUACGUCCUGAGGGAGAAAGUGGGGGAUCUUCGGACCUCACGCUAUCAGAUGAGCCUAGGUCGGAUUAGCUAGUUGGUGGGGUAAAGGCCUACCAAGGCGACGAUCCGUAACUGGUCUGAGAGGAUGAUCAGUCACACUGGAACUGAGACACGGUCCAGACUCCUACGGGAGGCAGCAGUGGGGAAUAUUGGACAAUGGGCGAAAGCCUGAUCCAGCCAUGCCGCGUGUGUGAAGAAGGUCUUCGGAUUGUAAAGCACUUUAAGUUGGGAGGAAGGGCAGUAAGUUAAUACCUUGCUGUUUUGACGUUACCAACAGAAUAAGCACCGGCUAACCUCGUG
rnacentral:rRNA from 1 species